GGUGGCUCAGUGGUAGAGUACUUGCCUUGCAUGCAUUAGGCCCUGGGUUCGAUUCCUCAGCACCA
rnacentral:tRNA from 1 species